rnacentral:lncRNA from 1 species
GCAAACUAAUAUUUCCAUUUAUCGUGUGGCCUGAAAGCAUUUUUCACAUUUGGCAGAGUAAUAAAGGAUCACACUCCUUAGCCUUGGGCAUCUAAGAGGAAAAAACCUUAAAAUGUUGAGCCUUGUAGAAAAUGUCUGAAAAUUCAGAAUGCUUUGAUUUUAAGGGUUGAGGUUUACUUUCUAAUAGGAUGGAAAUUACUUUUCACUGUGCCAGAUAUGGAAGUCUACAUUGGGAAGGCAUCGGCAGAGAGAUUUUCAAAAAGAGCGUGACAAGGACCACAUCUUAGUCUCUGUAUCCCUGUGCUCGAGCGCGGCGCUCAACGUAGAACAUGUGCUUCUUCAAGGGUAUCGACUGAAGAAGACAAUUGGAAUCAGCUCGAGCAGGACCAAGAGACCCUGGAGAAAUCUACCAUUCCACGUAAUGACUCGGUCAGACAUUAACCGUAGAGCAAAGCUGGAGGCCUCAGAAACAUCUGCCAUGUCUCCAGUAGCCCACCUAGUGAGGUAGGUAGAGGCCAAAUCUUACAUAAACUGGAUAGUUAAAAUCAACAGUUUGUGCAAAGCUCCAUCCAGGGAAUGAAUGUGAGUCUCUGCAAGUUCUCUGAUGAUGGGGAGGGGGGAGGGGAAGAGGCAGGUGUGAGAGAAGCAAUGGAGGUGGGGUUUUUCAUGGUUGAGGGCCAGGGGCAGGUCCACAGUUAGCCAGACAUUGGGAAUAAGGACUGGGUGAGCAGUGAGCCCUGAAGAUAAAUUUCCCUCCCUAAGACUUAAUCCUACAGACAAGGAGGAAGAAAGGGCUUGAGAUAAAUGCUUGUGUUGGGGAGUGGGGGGUCAGAUGAGAGGCAUGACGUGUAUGGGGUAGUAGAGCACCCCAAAAAGGGGACACAAAGUAAUUGCUUCCAGUCUUUCAUCUCUCAGCAGUACAUGUUGUAAUCAACCCGAUGCUGUAAGCAACUAAAGAACUUCAGAAAGGUCAGAAAACCUCACCCUGGGGAAAAUCACCUAUACCAGUCUGAGUAAUAGUGUUUGGUGGCCAUAAACCCAUCCCUGACAAGGACACUUCC